UACGAAUGGGGCAAGCGUUGUUCGGAAUCACUGGGCUUAAAGCGUGCGCAGGCGGCCAAGCAAGUCAGGAGUGAAAUCCCCGGGCUCAACCCGGGAAUUGCUCUUGAAACUGCUUGGCUAGAAUCCCGGAGAGGUUGGCAGAAUUCCGAGUGUAGAGGUGAAAUUCGCAGAUAUUCGGAGGAAUACCAGUGGCGUAAGCGGCCAACUGGACGGGCAUUGACGCUCAGGCACGAAAGCGUGGGGAGCAAACAGG
rnacentral:rRNA from 1 species